AGUGAACGCUGGCGGCGUGCCUAAUACAUGCAAGUCGAACGAUGAAGUCCUAGCUUGCUAGGAUGGAUUAGUGGCGCACGGGUGAGUAAUAUAUAGUUAAUCUGCCCUACACAGAGGAACAACAGUUGGAAACGGCUGCUAAUACCUCAUACUCCUAUUUGACAUAAGUUAAAUAGGGAAAGUCUUUUCGGUGUAGGAUGAGACUAUAUCGUAUCAGCUAGUUGGUAAGGUAAUGGCUUACCAAGGCUAUGACGCGUAACUGGUCUGAGAGGAUGAUCAGUCACAUUGGAACUGAGACACGGUCCAAACUCCUACGGGAGGCAGCAGUAAGGAAUAUUGCGCAAUGGGGGAAACCCUGACGCAGCAACGCCGCGUGGAGGAUGACACCUUUCGGAGCGUAAACUCCUUUUAUCAGGAAAGAAUAAUGACGGUCCCUGAUGAAUAAGCACCGGCUAACUCCGUGCCAGCAGCCGCGGUAAUACGGGGGGUGCAAGCGUUACUCGGAAUCACUGGGGCGUAAAGGACGCGAAGGCGGAUUACCAAGUCUUUUUGUGAAAACUAGGGGCUUAACCCCUAACACUGUUUAGGAAACUGAAAUUCUUAGUUGGGGGAGAGGUAUAUGGAUUUCUUGGGUGUGGGGGGAAACCCCCAAAGAGCAAGAAAAAAAACCCUUUCGCAAAC
rnacentral:rRNA from 1 species